GUGACACAGCUACCAGCCAAAGAGCACCAAGGUUGGCUGGAGCCCCCAGCAGCGGGACAGAGGCGCAGAACAUAUGACCACAGGAGCACCUGGAAAGGACCAAACCCAGCAACAGUUGAAUUUGGACUUUUAGCCUCCAGAACCAUGAGAAAGUAAGACUCUGCUGGACUGUGGCACGCACCCGGAACACCCAUCCAGCCGCCCUGAAGGAUGCAGGCCUCUCCGCCUUUGGUUCUCCUGUGCCUCUUCAGGUAUGAGGGGUUCCAGCACCAGGCUGGCCCUGGCAGCCGGGAGCCAGCCUUCUUCAGCUUGCUGCCUUUGCUGGGGAAGUGCCCACUCAGGACAGCUGAGGAGACGGAGCCACGGAGGUUGACAUAGGAGGUGAUGGAACAGCCAGUUUUCCUGCUGAGCCCAUCCGUAUAGACAGCCGGCAUGCAUUGAUGUGUCUCUCUCCCAGCUUCAACCCCUGUCUGCAGAGCUGGAGUCUCCGACUGUUCCCGCAUGUCCCUUCUCUGUUGUUACCUGCAGUCCAGACAAAAAUGGCAUAGUAAAAUAAAAGUUGAGAGAAU
rnacentral:lncRNA from 1 species